rnacentral:rRNA from 1 species
CGCGUAGGCGGGAGAGCAAGUCAGAUGUGAAAUCCCCGGGCUUAACCCGGGAACUGCAUUUGAAACUGUUUUUUCUUGAGUGAUGGAGAGGCAAGUGGAAUUCCUAGUGUAGCGGUGAAAUGCGUAGAUAUUAGGAGGAACACCAGUGGCGAAGGCGACUUGCUGGACAUUAACUGACGCUGAGGCGCGAAAGCGUGGGGAGCAAACA